UUGUCCGAUAAAGUGGAUGUGUUUCAAGAAUAUUUUAUAUUACUGUUAUCUUUACUGAAACAGAUAUAUAAUAAUAUAUUUUUUUAUACCUAUACAUAGUAAAUUAUAUGAACUUACUCUGUAGCGUCUGGAGUUUCGCAGAAUUAAACUGUGAAAUCGGCAGCGCCAAGUCUUGAGCAGAAGAAGAUACACUCUUGUCAGUGACAACAUAGUCUGAAGGUACCACAAAUGGUUGUUUCUUCUCACCAGAAGCAUGUAAAGCUUUAAAACAAGGAGGCAUUGGUAGGCAAGGAUUUUGUUCGAGCCACUUCUGGAAAGCUUUCGUUGAUCUGUGAAAUUAUAAAAAUAAAUAAUAAAGCUAAUGUGCUUUUAUUAGAUGAAAUUGAUUUAGAAUUUUUAAAUUUGAUUAUACGUUGUGUAUCUUAUAUUUAUUACAAUAAUUGUUGUAAAACUUAAUUAAAAUUAUAAUAUUUGUAAGUAUA